rnacentral:miRNA from 1 species
UCGAGAGAGAGAGCGACGAGG